rnacentral:rRNA from 1 species
UGGGGAAUAUUGGACAAUGGGCGCAAGCCUGAUCCAGCCAUGCCGCGUGAGUGACGAAGGCCUUAGGGUUGUAAAGCUCUUUUGGCGGGGACGAUAAUGACGGUACCCGCAGAAUAAGCCCCGGCUAACUUCGUGCCAGCAGCCGCGGUAAUACGAAGGGGGCUAGCGUUGUUCGGAAUCACUGGGCGUAAAGCGCACGUAGGCGGAUUUGUAAGUCAGGGGUGAAAUCCCGGGGCUCAACCUCGGAACUGCCUUUGAUACUGGCUGUCUCGAGGUCGAGAGAGGUUGGUGGAAUUCCUAGUGUAGAGGUGAAAUUCGUAGAUAUUAGGAAGAACACCAGUGGCGAAGGCGGCCAACUGGCUCGAUACUGACGCUGAGGUGCGAAAGCGUGGGGAGCAAACAGGAUUAGAUACCCUUGUAGUCCCUGAGCGGGCUGGCAAGGCGCAU